rnacentral:rRNA from 1 species
CAAUAGCGUAUAUUAAAGUUGUUGCAGUUAAAAGCUCGUAGUUGGAUUUCGGAACGGGCCAGUUGGUCCGCCGCAAGGUGAGUUACUGACUGGUCUGUUCUUCUUCGCAAAGACUGCGUGUGCUCUUUGUUGAGUGGGCGUAGGAUUUACGACGUUUACUUUGAAAAAUUAGAGUGUUCAAAGCAGGCUAUCGCUUGAAUACAUGAGCAUGGAAUAAUGGAAUAGGACUUUGGUCCUAUUUUGUUGGUUUCUAGGACCGAAGUAAUGAUUAAGAGGGACAAUUGGGGGCAUCAGUAUUCUGAAGCGAGAGGUGAAAUUCUUGGACCUUCGGAAGACUAACAACUGCGAAAGCAUUUGCCUAGGAUGUUCUCUUUAAUCAAGAACGAAAGUUGGGGGAUCGAAGAUGAUUAGAUACC